UACGUAGGGUGCAAGCGUUGUCCGGAAUUAUUGGGCGUAAAGAGCUCGUAGGCGGUCUGUCGCGUCUGCUGUGAAAACUCAGGGCUUAACCCUGAGCUUGCAGUGGGUACGGGCAGACUAGAGUGCGGUAGGGGAGACUGGAAUUCCUGGUGUAGCGGUGAAAUGCGCAGAUAUCAGGAGGAACACCGGUGGGCGAAGGCGGGUCUCUGGGCCGUAACUGACG
rnacentral:rRNA from 1 species